rnacentral:rRNA from 1 species
AGAGUUUGAUCCUGGCUCAGGAUGAACUCUGGCGGCAUGCCUAACACAUGCAAGUCGAACGAAGCAUUGUCAACGGAAGCUUCGGCCGAAGUUGACUUUGACUUAGUGGCGGACGGGUGAGUAACGCGUGAGUAACCUGCCUUUCAGAGGGGGAUAACGUUCUGAAAAGAUCGCUAAUACCGCAUGAGACUACAGAGCUGCAUGGCUCAGUGGUCAAAGGAGCAAUCCGCUGAAAGAUGGACUCGCGUCCGAUUAGAUAGUUGGCGGGGUAACGGCCCACCAAGUCGACGAUCGGUAGCCGGACUGAGAGGUUGAACGGCCACAUUGGGACUGAGACACGGCCCAGACUCCUACGGGAGGCAGCAGUGAGGGAUAUUCGGCAAUGGGGGAAACCCUGACCGAGCAAUGCCGCGUGAGGGAUGACGGUUUUCGGAUUGUAAACCUCUGUCCUCUGUGAAGAUAAUGACGGUAGCAGAGGAGGAAGCUCCGGCUAACUACGUGCCAGCAGCCGCGGUAAUACGUAGGUUGCAAGCGUUGUCCGGAUUUACUGGGUGUAAAGGGCGUGUAGGCGGAGAUGCAAGUCAGGAGUGAAAUCCCGGGGCUCAACCCCGGAACUGCUUUUGAAACUGUAUCCCUUGAGUGUCGGAGAGGCAAGCGGAAUUCCUAGUGUAGCGGUGAAAUGCGUAGAUAUUAGGAGGAACACCAGUGGCGAAGGCGGCUUACUGGACUGUAACUGACGUUGAGGCGCGAAAGUGUGGGGAGCAAACAGGAUUAGAUACCCUGGUAGUCCACACUGUAAACGAUGGAUACUAGGUGUAGGCAUGAAUGUGUCUGUGCCGGCGCAAACGCAAUAAGUAUCCCACCUGGGGAGUACGGCCGCAAGGUUGAAACUCAAAGAAAUUGACGGGGGCCCGCACAAGCAGUGGAGUAUGUGGUUUAAUUCGACGCAACGCGAAGAACCUUACCAAGACUUGACAUAUACAGGAAUAUCUAAGAAAUUAGAUAGUCUUUCGGGACUUGUAUACAGGUGAUGCAUGGUUGUCGUCAGCUCGUGUCGUGAGAUGUUGGGUUAAGUCCCGCAACGAGCGCAACCCUCGUGAUUAGUUGCCACCAAGUGGAACUCUAAUCAGACUGCCGUAGUUAAUACGGAGGAAGGUGAGGAUGACGUCAAAUCAUCACGUCCCUUAUGUCUUGGGCUACACACGUACUACAAUGGUUGCUACAGAGAGAAGCGAAGCCGCGAGGCAGAGCAAAACUGAAAAAAGCAGCCCCAGUUCGGAUUGCAGGCUGAAACUCGCCUGUAUGAAGUUGGAAUUGCUAGUAAUCACAGGUCAGCAUACUGUGGUGAAUACGUUCCCGGGCCUUGCACACAACGCCCGUCA